UUUUAAAGAGUCUUUAAAGAACGCCCAUUUUUCUUCCAUUAAUAAUGUAUAAAAGACGUCAUUGACAUGGUUAAAUUCCCAGCACCCUCAGUUCUUUAGAAAUAGACCAAACAACAGGUAUCAUCACUUAAAAACUGUCUUGAUUUUGAUUGAGUUUCUGUUGAGAAAUAAAGUAUAUAUUUUUUAUUUUUAUCUUUUAAUUCCAUGUUUCCAUAAAAUAUACUUGAAGUCAUCUCAUAUAUACUCAGCAUUAAGAAAUGAUCUGGAGUAGUCAAGUCAAUCAAUAGUUUUAUAAAGAUAGAUUGGUGGAUGGGUAAGUGGAGUUUAAGGGUGGGUAACAGAUUCCUGGAAACUUUCCCUAAGUACACUAAUUCAGAGAAUUCUUUUUUCUUCUAUAAUUCCCCAAAGCAUAUUUAUAUAUACUAGUUCUAUUUCUCCACUUUAUGUACUUUAUUAUAUCUCUCAAUUCACGGAUAUAUACUUACCUAGGACCUACAACUAAAAUCUACACCGAAAAAGUGUUAAAGAUAUAUUAAUAAUGUGGCUUAAUUAAAAAACUAAAUAAAUGUAUUGAAGUGUGCUUGUUUAAACAAUAUUCUAAACAACCAUUUUGAUAUCCAAUUUAUCCACAGUUCCAUUUAUGCACGCAUAAAAUAUUGACUCUCCAAUUGGUUGACCUGAUAAAGGACUGCAAUUAAAAUAGAAAAUGACUGUUUAAGAACUUGCAUAUUAAUAGGUUUUAUGUUUUAAAAUAACUCCCUCAUCAACUCUCUUUGUAUCAAAAUUUCAACUUUGCUUUUGAAGUUAUGGGAGUCUAGUUUUCCAGUUCACUUUAAUGCUGGAGAUUUCUGAGUUCUGAAGUACUUCAGCUCUGAAUAAGCCUAAGACACUUUCAGAUUCCCAACUGAAUUUAACUAUUUGAAGAAGGUAUGAAAAUAAAAUUAAUAAAUGAAGGGAGGCAGCAUAAAUAUGCUGUAUAGCUUUAUUCAAGAGAGCAAAGGCUCUCUGAGAGUGGCUAAAGAAUUAUUUGAUAUACAGCUUGGUUUGAUGUCACAGUGAGCAGUUCGGACAAAUCUAAACAUAAGCACUUUCUUUAUGUCAAAAUUAUUAAGAACCAUUUAUACUUUGGAAGCUAUUUUUCUGAGAUUAUCAGUAUCUUAUUUAAUGUGUGUCUCUUUUAUCAUUUCUUAAAGUAAGGACUCUUUUCAAAAUAAUUCUGAUGCCUUGAUACCAGAACUCAUAUUGAAUAAAGCUCAUAUUGUCUCAUUCUCGGGGAUGUUACAAUUAUCUGUCAUAUAAGCAUGUACAUUUUAGUGUCACUGAAGAAGUUUCACUGGACAUAACACAAAAACAAUUCCACUUUAGUAAGAAUUUUUGUUUUCUUUUUUCAAUUAAGCACUUUUUUUCUGUUUAAUGAUUCUCUCUGAAAAAGAAAAUUAUAUAAUCACAGUUUUUUUCUUCUUCUCCUUUUAACCUCAGACAACUGAGGUACAGUGAUUAUGUUGACUGGAUUUCAGGAUCUGUUAUAAUUAUAUAUUUGUCUCCUGUGAAUGACAAUAUAAACCCUUCCUCUUGCAGUAUUGAGGAGUUAUUUUCAGUCUUGAUAAAAUAUUGCUCCUUUUAACACACGCGAUGUUUUACAUUUGCAAACUGCCAUAGUCCUCAUUUUUCUGCAGGUGUUGUUGUUGCACAAUGAGUAUGGAGAUUCUCUUUGUCACUUGCUUGAUUAAAAUAAUCGAAAACAUAAAGUGAAAAAAUCUUCCAAUACAAUUCAUUCAUUAACAUAGCUUUCUUUUAUGAGUAUUGUUCUUCCAGUAGCUUCACAAAGAAUAUUAGUCUGUGUGUUCUCAGAGGUGAUUUACAAAACUCAUUAAAGAUAUGAAAAUUAUUUUAGAAACUAUGUAAAUUGAAUUUAGAAGGGAUGGUAAAUCCUAUAUAUGAUUUUAAGUAGUACACAUAUCAUGUGAAGCAAAGCUCUUCCAUAAAUACAGAAAUAUGAAAUUGGAUUUUCCAAGAGAGAUAAAAUUUCUUCUGUUUUUCAUGCUGUUUUCUAAAUUUGAAUUCAGAAAAUAUUAUCAUCCUAUUUAGAAAAGAGAAUUUGGAAAAGCAUAUGAAGUUUUUAUUUACUAGACCAGUUGUGCCAUUCAUUGGUUCUGGAAUUCUACAUAUUUUAGGGCAAAGCUAAUCUAGUCCUUUUUUUCUGUUUGCACCCAAUGGCUAGCUCCACUCUGAAAGAGAAAGUUAUCUAAGUGGUUCACUAAGUUCUAUUUCUGUCUAUGCCUUUUCUAUUCCUGUGUCCGUUGUUACUUUUCUGAUGGCAAUUGUCACAUUGAACUAAAAUUCCUCAAUACUAUGAUCUCUGUGGUCUUGAGUUGUCACAUGAGUUGUCUGUACUAGAACACUCACAUUUCUUGAUCUUACUUGGGCAAUUCCCAAUUAUAACUCUUAAUUGAUCAGAAAUUUCACAGUGUAAGUGGCAUCUAAACGGAAUAGCUCGUCUGCUUGCUCUCAUAGUCUGCUACCCUUCCGUGGACCCUAUCACAUUAUAUUAUACUUUCCUUUUUCUUGAUCAAACUUUGUUACUGUACUGGAGGCAAUGUGAAAGCAAGUACAAUAUCUACAAUAUCUACCAUGGCACUAGACAUUGCUUUCUUUACACCUCAGAAAAAAAAAAUCAAUAAUAUUGUUAGCUGCCCUAAAGAAUGAGUGAGCAAAGAAAAGAUGCAGUGAGUUUGAAAAUUUUAUCUCAGUUUUCUCUUCUUAAAUACUUGGAUAAGCUCACUGGUUUGUUGGGAAUGGUGUCAGCUAGUUGUCUGUCUCCAAGUCUUUUGUUUCAUUCUCUUCCUCCUCCUUGGGAAUACAACUGUGAUAUUAUUCAGGGAUGAAAUGUGCUUAUUCUCCCAAUCUGGUCAAGAGAUUGUGUUCUGGCUAAUGUAAUGUUAGCAGAAAUGUUGCAUGGGAUUUCUGUGCAGGUUAAAGUUUAAAGGUGCUGUCUCACAUAGAGGACCCCUCUUUGCCCCUCUGCUUUUUCUCCACUUCUGUUCUGUGCAGAAGGAAGUUGGCAUUAAUGACUGGAAUUUCAGCAUCCAUCUUGAACCAUGUAGUGGUCUUGAAAAUAGAUGAGGCCCAGAAAAAUCAUGGGCUAAUAUCAGAAUCCCUGCCAGUUUUGCAAGUUUUAGAGGUCCCAGGUGAGUGUGAACUCAGUCUAAGCUUCCACCUUCAAGGUUUGUUCCAGUUCCAUGUGGCUGAGGAGGCCUCACAAUCAUGGUGGAAGGCAAGGAAGAGCAAGUCACAUCCUAUGCAAAUGGCGGCAGGCAAAGAGAGAGCUUGUGCAGGGGAACUCCUCUUUA
rnacentral:lncRNA from 10 species